UUAUAAAUUGUAAUAAAACUACAUGUAGACAAAUGACAUCUUGCUAGAAUAAUAACUGACAAAAUCUAGAUAAAAUAGAAUAUACAAGAAAUUUUUGUUUGUAUUCUAUACCUAAGAUGAAUCUACGUAUAAUUAAUAUCUGAUUUCUAGAUUAAGUAAAUGACUAGAAUGAGUAUUUUAUCUGUAGCUAUGACACAAAAUAAAAUAUGAUUCCACUAUUUUUUUAAAAAAAAUUAAACAUAUAAAUAGUCAUACUUAUGUUUCCAAUGGUUUUCAUAUAUAUAUAUUUUUUUUAAACGUACUUUACUGUUUUUCCCAUCACAUAAGGGUAAAACAAGUCCAAAAUAACUAAAAAUAUCAAAAAUCCUAUUGGGACAAAUAAAAAUUGAAAGUGUCUUUUUUUUUCUGUUUCUCCCUUAAAAAAACUACUCAAAUAUGACCGGAGAAACAAAGAAAAGAUGAAGAAUGCAUAAAUAAAAAUCGGGGUUCAUAACACUUCCACGAGGGAGAGUACAAAUUCGUCUCCUCCAAAAAUUAUAAAACCUAAGAGUAUGAUGAAAUGAAAGCAUAGCCUAUUCAAUGGCUAAAAAUAAAAGAUAUACGUUUAAUUCACGUUCUAGUCGAAAUUUAGCUUAAACCAAAAUGAAAAUAAAUAAAAACUGAAAUUUUCAUUUUUUUUUUGUAUAGAACCGGCAGAUAGACCAGUCUUCAGUAAAACAAUCAUAACUUUCAAUCUAACCGAUGGAUCGACUUCAAACUAGUGGCACAGAAAAGCUUACUCAUUCUAUAUAUUGUAUCCAAAUUUGAACUCAAUCUCAUCGUGGAAAAUCCCCCAUACAUUGGUAAACUUCAGCUGCAUCUAAAAAGUUCUACAUCUUUAUUUUCUCUUUUGCAUCCAAUUCGGCACCAUCUACUCCAAAUCGACCUAACACCUUAAAGACUCGAUAAAAAGUAAAAGACUACGAGACAAACUCUGAAAAUAAAAGAAUCAAAACAAAUGUUAGAAAUUGGUGAAACACCGUUAUCAGAUACGAUCUACACUGUUUUAGAUCAAUAUACAUAACCUUAACCAAAUAGAAGCGUAACCUAUCUUGGAAUCUAAGUCACUCCUUUCAAACGUACUCUCUUAGUAUCUUGUAGUAACACUGAUAUGAUGUACUGCAAAUAUAGCGAGAGCAAAAGAAGCUUACUUUGGUUUGGCGGUACAAGCAAGAUGGCAAGCUUAGUUUGGAGAGAGGUGAUCUGGCGGCGCGUUGAGUGCAUUGCUGAGGUUGAAAAAUGUGUAAUGGAUGGAGUAAUGGAAGGUUUGUAAAGUUUUUAACGAUAUUGAUCGGGAUCCAAUAGACAUUUUGCAAUUAGUAGAGACAAAAUUAACAUUGUGGACUGAAACUCAAAUCUUAUUAAUCCAUAGUGAAACUCUACUAUGAGAGAGGAAGAAAGACAAACCCCAUCCAUUAGAUUAGGCAUAUGAUGUUCUACGGAUAGGUCGUGGAAGGAAAAUGAGGUUUUAUCGGGACACUGUUGGUAUAGUACUUUUGAAGGCUUUGAGAGAAUGAUGGGAAUAAGGAAUACAAGACCAAUUCUCACACACUUGCAUUCAUAAUUUGAAGCUCUUAUAUGGACAGUGGAAUGCAUGAUAGCUUUCAGAUAAAUUCACGUGACAUUUGUGAAUUGUGACAUAUUGUUCUACAUUAGUGAAAAUGAUUUUUGAAACAGAUGAAUGAUCUAAUUUUGCAACAUAUAUGGAGGAGAUUCGAAGAUGUACGGAAAUGUCUCAUAUCAUUCACAUAGGUAGAGAAUAUUAACUGAGUCUAUUCUAUCGAUGACAAAACAAAUUAACAACUUUGUUUUUAUUUGAGAUCAAUUUGUAUUUAUUUUUAGUUUAAUUACUAAUAUUUAUUAAAUGGCAUAAUAAUAUUUAAAAGCUAAAAAAAAUUAGUAUUUAAUAUUUUAUAACCAUAUAAAAUAAAGUGCAUAAAUUUUAGAAAAGAUAAUUAACUUUUAUUUUUGGUUUAAUCUAUCUAUCUAUAUAUAUAAAGAAUACUUUCCUCACACAUGAGGAAGCCACGUCAUCAAUUCGUUGAUCCUGGACGUGACAUGUGUUCUCUCUCACUCUACGCUACGUUUCAUUAACUGUUUUACCUAAUAGUUUUGGGCUUUGUAUUUGGGCUUUAUGAUUCUUUAUGCUGAUAGAGCCCGAAAGCGACCAAACGCAUAUCGUCUUCCUCGGUUUCAGAACGAGUUUAGGGUUCAUCCUCCUCUUCCCGUGAACUUCUUCAACUUCAUUGUCCCACUCUCACUCUGAUACAUCGAUGGAAUCUUUUGGUCUUCCCAAUGGCACUCAACUUUGGAUCAAGGACCCUCUCAUCACUUUACCUCUGAUUUUGUUUUCUAAUCAUCCUGGGGUUUUUGUGUAUACAUUCGAUUGAAUCUGAAUACUUUCCAAAAAUUGGGUUUCUCGAGAAAAUCCGAGUUUCAAUUGUGUUUCAAAGUGUUUUAAUUUAUUUUUUCACAUCCAGUCCAGUAAUAUCGUUUUUUUUUAAAUUGUGGAGUUGGUGGAUUUGAUUUCAGGUUUUUGAUUGAUUCCAAUUUCGGUGAGGGUUGAUCUAGGGUUACCCGAACCAGAAAAUCUUCCAGAGCUCAAUCUCCGUUGUCGACCAAUUACCUAUCAUGAUGAACUCAGUAGACUCUCAUCAUCAAGAGCCAAGGAGCAUCACAAAGUCAUCAUCUAGCUUCCGAGUCUGCUGUGACGGAUCUCGAUCAGCUUCAAUCGACGUGUUCAUCCUAAUACCGUUAUCAUAUCUUAUGGGUUCUUGAUCAUUCCUAACAGAAAAUUCAUCACUGUCAAAGCCGUUUUUAACAAUUUCGCUGUGAGACGACUGAACUAGAAUGGAUUAGACUCAGAGGAAGUGGUGUAUAUAAGAAGAAGUGCUGCAUAUCAAGCUAUUAAGAUAUACAAAAAUUACCGGAAGAGACUGUAGCUUACCGCCAAGCCCGUGCUUUGGAGCGUGUACGGAUUUGCAAUCAGAAUACUGUUGGACCCAAUUUCGGCCAGUACAUUAAUGGGCCACGAUCAAGAAUAUGGGAUGUGAAGAGUUAAAGCCCAUAGCGAGCACGCGAGCUCCAGACGGAGACUUUGAAGAUCCAGAGAUCGCGGAACGGUUGCGAAGAUCACGGACAGCCCAUUAUAAGAAGAGAUCGAUGCAUAAGAAAGGGGACACGUUGAAAACCCUAGAGACAGCUACACCCAUACUUCGACCUUGUUUUUAUCCAGUUUUAGAUCUUUUCUUUUAACGAUCUCAUUUGUAACAUUCGAUCUUGUUUAACUCAUUGUAUUCGAUCUUACUUAUCAAUAAAAUCCACUUUCGCCUA